rnacentral:lncRNA from 1 species
CCCUGCGAAUCAUUUUUUGAACAAUGAAAUCCAUAACAUAAAGGUGGUUAAGUGCUAAAAAAAUCGUAUAUUGUUUCUGAUUUUUGUGUCUUUACCUCAAUGAAAAGAUCACUUCGAAAAUCCGAUAGAUUUAUGGAAUCGGUUAUUAUUUUUGAAUUUCAAAAAAGAUAGAAAAAUAACUGGGGAUAUUAUGUGAUUAGUUAGUAUUCCAAAUAUUAGUUGGUAUUUCAAAUAUCUGAUUCAAGUAGGCAAAGAGAUGGGAAUCAAAAUAAUUUUGUUUAAAGUUCGAUUUUUUUUCAAAGGGCAAUAUGAAUUUGUUAUCAUGUUCCAUCAACACACUAAAAGGGUUAUACGAUAUAUCCGCUGUGGAAGUAGGACAACAUUUCUAUUGGCAAAUA